GUACUUUUAGACUUUUAAGAAGGAAUACCAUUUUAAGCCAGUGAGAUUCUAUUUAAAAAAUUAAGGUUGUAGUAAUUUAUUAGCCAGACCAGUCAUUGCUGUGAACAAAUAUCUGACAUACCUUAAAACAGUAGCGGGGGGCAUGGUCAUGUUUUCAGAGGCCCCAGUUUACACUUCUUGGCUUUGUUGGCUCUGUGAUUCAAAGCGAAGCAGAACAUCACAGUAGCAAAAUCACAUGGCAGAACUGUUCAUCUCAUGGUAGACAGGAAGGACAAACAAAGUGACCUGAGACCAGAUAGAACCUUCAUUGUCAUCUCCCCAGUGAUCUUCCUCCAGACAGGCCUUGAAUCCCAGUUUCCACACUUCCCAAAAUAGUGCCCCCAACUUGGGAAAAAGUGUAUGGACCUGUGGGGCACAGUUCACAUUCCUACCUGGGAUGGUUUGUGAACAUGGUCUAUGAAGGUAAGGUGAUAAUUCUAGGCAACCCAAAUUUCUUUAAGUUCUGGACCACCAUGAAAUUUCAAUUAAGUUCUUGUGAUUUUGCAACUCCAUUUUGUUCAUAUAUGUACUAACUAGUUUUGUUUUUUUAAGGUGGGGUCUCAUGUAGCUCAGGCUGGCAUCAACUUGCUAUGUAGAUAAAGAUGGCCUCCUUCUACCUUUUGCCUCCUGGGAUCACUAUGCCCACUGUGUACAUAGUAUCCUGACAUAUUGUGCCUUUCACAGCAGGCAGGAUCUAUUGGCUCAUCCUUCACAUUCGAUUGAUUCCAAACAGUUAUGACAUAGUGAGUCAAUUCAGUAUUAGUGCCCAAAUUCAUGAGUUCCCAUGUCAAAUUGUGUCACAUGUUGGCUUAACUGCCUGUCAGUUGCAAUUUUAUUUUUUUAACUUUCACUACAGAAUGGAAGAAGAGGAAAACAUCAUUAGAUUGCUGAUGGAAUUAAAAGGGUUAGUACUUGAAAACAUUUUAAGGGCUAAAUGCAUCUUAGAUAUUAGACUGUCAUUAUAGUAAGGAACUACCUAGGUCUGGAAAGCAGCUAUUACUGGUCACUUAGUAUUUUUAGGUCUCUGUUUUCUCAGGGAUAAAGUAAGGUUUAUUAGGCAAUUCCCGUGGUUUAUCUUCAUCUUUAAAAUUCUAUGACCCAGUGUUUAAUAUCUGUUUUGCUCACAAAAGUCUGUACUUUUCAGAGUUUUUAAAAAAAUUUACCCUUAGCAGUUCUGAGGACCAGAUAUUUGUAAGACUGCACUUCCAAUUGAUAUUUACUAAAAAUUUAAAACCAUUUAUACGUGUAUGAGUGUUUUGCUUACAUGUAUGUAUGUGCAUCAUAUGUACCUGGUGUCUCUGCAGUCAGAAGAAGUGGGUUGAUCCUCUGGAACUGGGGUUACAGAUGUGAGUCACCGUGUGGGUGCUGGGAACUGAAUCUAGAUCCUCUGCAAGAGCAAUCAGUGCUCUUUACUACUGAGCCAUCUCUCCAGCCUCCCUCCAUAAAACAAGCUUUAAAACUAACACCUGGCAAGCAAACAUUUAAAUUCCCAUACAUAAUAAAGACUUUCCUGGCUUAUAAAAACACAGUAUUUAUUUUUAUACAUGGGAUAAGUACACUUAUUGCAUAAAAUUAAGAAAAUAGCGUUUGAAACAAAAAUACUUGACUUCAAAUUUUACCACUCAUCUAUCUCCAACGUUGGUAGUCUUGUCUUUCAGUAUUAUCAUUGUAGUUUUGAGUGGUGUGUAUAUUUUGUAUUGCCAUUUUUGUGCUUUACUAUUUCAUACCACUUUACAUAACUAUAGCCAUUUAAAAGAGUGCAAUUUUAACUAUUUACAGAACACUGGAAGAUGCAUUCUAGCUUUCCUAUUGACUAUUAACUUAUUGAAGCCUUACAUGCUUCAUUCAGACAAAAGCAUCCAUUACAUUUCAAAACAUACAUUUUGGUUUAAGCAUGUUCCAUAUAGUUAAUAGCACACAAGACAACUUUUGCGCAUCUGUGGAUAUACGGUCCAUGUUGUGUCUUCAAUUGCUCUUGGGUCUCUUACUGAGCCUGGACCUCAUCCACUUGCUUAUGCCAGCGAGCCGGCAAGCCCCAGGGUUCUUCUGUAUCUGUCUCCUGAGCACAGGGAUCGCAGGUGCACUGCUACCAUGGAGUUGGUAUUUUUUUUUCUUUUUCCCCUACUUUCUUAUUGAUUCUUCGCGGAUUUCACAUCAUGCACCACAAUCCCACUCAUUUUCCAGUCCUUCCCCAUUUGCCCUCCUCACUUGUAUUUUGUCUAACACAGGUUCUGGGAUCAAAUUCAGGUUUUCUUGCUUGCUUGCAAGCACUUUAUUGCCAAUAUCAUCUUUCCAACCCCCAAAUAUUAUGGCACAAUGGCCUAUAAUCUGCAUUUGUCUCUUGACCAUGGAAUAGAAAACAGGAUCAUAAUAUAUACUAUGAAGCUGCAGAUCACCUUUCUAUCCCAUUCUGUUCCAACUGGACAGGAUCAACGCAAGCACUCCAUUUAACAGUCCUUCUGUUUGCAAACUCCGUAUACAAACUUUGGGAUUUUCAAAGUGUAUUUUGGUUAUUUUCUUCACAAACACAGGGCUCAGUGUGGUGGCCAGCCUGUAACUCCAGCUUCGAGAAGGAAAGUGCACGGGCUGGGGAAUCGUGAGAUGAAGGUCAACCUGGACUACUCAGUGAGUUCCAGGUCAGCCUGAGUGACUUAGCAAGACCAUCUCAAAAAAAAAAAAAAAAAAAAAAUCAAACACAUAGAGCCUACCUUCCUAAACUUUACUGUUUCAGAAGCUCAAAAACUGGAAGUUAGAUAAACGUGUUUUUCAUUAAUGUUAAGAUAAAUAAGGGCAAACUGACGCUCUGAAAUAUCCCGACCAAGAGCUGACACAUACUUGGAAGUUAUCAAGGGCAAGAAUUCCAUUCUCCGAGUUGGUUAGAAGGUGGGGGCUGCAGCUCCUCGCCGCGGGAAGCAGCCCGUCGAGGUCUGCAGAUUUGACAGAAGAUGGUCAUCUUCGAUCUCUGGGGGACUUUCCAAGCAGGAUGCUGGGGCCAAAGAAGCAAAAGUGCGUGCUAGCCAUGUGACCCAACUUCACUCUUAGGUUUGCACCUUCAGAACGCAGCAGCAGGAGUAACACCAAUCCUCCUCAGGGCCUCUUGUGCCCCCACGUCCAGAAGGGACAAGUACGGACCUAACUGCUGGCUAGCCAACACCUGCCAGCCUUUUCGGAUCCAGUCUCCUUGGGGCUAAAACGCCCCUACUUAUUUUUUCUUUUCUUUUUUUUUCUCCCUCCGUCGUCUUCCCAAGCCAGCCAGGUUCGGGCUGGCCGAAGCGCAGCGUGAGCAACAGUUUGGUGCCGGAGCGAGCGGCUCGCUCGCGCGUGCCCGGAGGCCGUGCCAGCGGCUCUCACACCUCGGGACGCACGCACCCUCGGGCCGGGGGCUCCGCCGCCGCCGCGCCGCGGGAGGAGCACGGGGCGCGCGCGCCGGCGAGGCCCUCCAUCCAC
rnacentral:lncRNA from 1 species